GUCCUGGAGAUGGGAAUCGAACCCACAGUGUUCCGCUUACCGGGCAGAUGCCAUGUCCACUAAGCUACCCUGGA